GUAAUCAGUCUAAUUAAUCACUGCGAAUUUGUUAAAGAAUUAAUGGAUUACUUGGAUUUUCUGUAUUUUGGUAAAGAAAAUAUUUUCCUGUAUCUAUGAUGUGUGUACAGCAUUCUAUCGUGCUAAGAAAUAUGAUAGGUCUCUUACGGCCUAUUUUAUGGAUUUUAAAUGAGUAUAUGAAGAGUUUAAUGUUUUAUUGCCUUUCAACACUGAUGUGAAAGUGCAGCAGGUACAACGAGAGCAAAUGGCUAUUAUGAGUUUUUUUGCAGUUCUUCCCUCAGAAUAUGAAACUGCUAAAUCUCAGAUCCUGUUCAGCUUUGAGAUUUCCUCCCUGGAUGAUACGUUUACAUGUGUCCUUUGUACAGAAAGUACUCAUUUGUCACAACAACCUGCAAAUGGUGCUCUUGUUUGCCGCAAUACAAAUGGACAACAAGGUCAUAAGGGAGGAACUAGAGGCAAUAAAAUUAAUCAACGUAAUGGGGAGGUGAAUUCCAAACAAGACUCAAAGGGAAUCAUUUGUUAUUACUCCCAUGAGCCUGGUCAUACAAAAUAUAAUUGUUUGAAGCUUCAAAGGAAAAAUCAGCGGUCUCAGAUGGCAAAUAUGGCAGUAGAUGAUAAUCUUUCUUCCUUUGAAAAAACUAUCUCCGUAUCUGCAGAGGAGUAUGCACAGUUUUUCUAGUAUUAGGCAUCUCUAAAGUCUUCCAAUAUCCCUGUCACUGCCAUCGCUAAGUCAGGUAAAUCUACUACAUGUCUAGUAUCCUCCUCAUCCAAAUGAGUCAUAGAUUCUGGUGCUAUAAAUCAUAUGACAGGUA
rnacentral:misc_RNA from 1 species